UGGACCUGAUAUCAGGCAAGAUUAC
rnacentral:rRNA from 1 species